UGGGGAAUCUUGGACAAUGGGGGAAACCCUGAUCCAGCCAUGCCGCGUGAGCGAUGACGGCCUUAGGGUUGUAAAGCUCUUUCGCCGGUGACGAUAAUGACGGUAGCCGGAGAAGAAGCCCCGGCUAACUCCGUGCCAGCAGCCGCGGUAAUACGGAGGGGGCUAGCGUUGUUCGGAAUUACUGGGCGUAAAGGGCGCGUAGGCGGACCGCUCAGUCGAGGGUGAAAUCCCGGGGCUCAACCCCGGAACUGCCUUCGAUACUGGCGGUCUGGAGGACGAGAGAGGCGAGUGGAAUUCCGAGUGUAGAGGUGAAAUUCGUAGAUAUUCGGAGGAACACCAGCGGCGAAGGCGGCUCUCUGGACCGGUACUGACGCUGAGACUCGAAAGCGUGGGGAGCAAACAGGAUUAGAUACCCCUGUAGUCC
rnacentral:rRNA from 1 species